CAUCCUAGACGAGUUUGAUCCUGGCUCAGAACGAACGCUGGCGGCAGGCCUAACACAUGCAAGUCGAGCGAGGUAGCAAUACCUAGCGGCGGACGGGUGAGUAACGCGUGGGAACGUACCCUUUGCUACGGAAUAGCCCCGGGAAACUGGGAGUAAUACCGUAUGUGCCCUUCGGGGGAAAGAUUUAUCGGCAAAGGAUCGGCCCGCGUUGGAUUAGGUAGUUGGUGGGGUAAUGGCCUACCAAGCCGACGAUCCAUAGCUGGUUUGAGAGGAUGAUCAGCCACACUGGGACUGAGACACGGCCCAGACUCCUACGGGAGGCAGCAGUGGGGAAUCUUAGACAAUGGGCGCAAGCCUGAUCUAGCCAUGCCGCGUGAGUGAUGAAGGCCUUAGGGUUGUAAAGCUCUUUCAGAUGGGAAGAUAAUGACGGUACCAUCAGAAGAAGCCCCGGCUAACUCCGUG
rnacentral:rRNA from 1 species